UCAUGGUUAGGGUCCAGCUCAGCGGCAAGCAAUUUCUCACUCCCCAAGUUAUCUAUUACCAGCGGCCGGUCUGGAGGUAAAAAUAGCCGCUGGGGCUGUUUGUUUAAUCUGACUGUUACUUGACACCACGCGGGUGUUGCGGUGGGGACUGUUUGCCUCUUCCCCACCAAGAACACCAUUUGGUUUCCCCCGGCUGGGUCUCUAUUUAGGUACGUUUCACAAACGUCCGGCGUCUGGACGACUUCUGGACACUGAUUUUCCCCAGGUGGGCAGGUCUGUGAGAACGGAGAGGUGUGGGUCUUGCCUCCCACCGCAGCUGAACUCUGGGCAGCCCGGAGAAGGAGGGAAGAAGUUUCGGCAGCCAGGCAGAGCCCGGCUGCUGGAGGCGUCAGGGUUCUCUCCGGUUCCCAGGGAGGCCUGCAGAGCCAGCAGCUGGGCCACGCGGAGAGCGGAAGAUGGGCAGUGAUGAUAGCAAAUAUAAACAUGAGAAGAAGUUUUUAAACUACGGACUCUAAAAUCCAGCAAGGCAGGCACCUGCAGCCCCCACUGCUGUAACAGUUUUAGUUACCAACGGUCAGCCGUGGUCCAGAAACCCAUGCUCCUCCCUCUGAUGUAUGGUCAGAAGUCAGUAGUAACCUAACGCUCCAUCGCUGUGCCCACGUCAUUCAUCCCACAUCCCACAUCAUCUCAUCACACAGACAUUCUAUCAUCUCACAUCAGCACAAGAAGG